GAUUGGCUGAGAAGACAACGACAAAAAGAGAGGAGCGUGGAACUGAAGAUUUCUCUGAGAGCUGCCGCUGCACAUGCGCAGUGAUCCGCAAUGAACAGCCUUGUGGAGAUUAUGCAGAAGCUGCAGCUGAAGGACUGAGAGGAAGAGCAGCAGAAGGCAGCAGCUGCAGUGCGUGGUGUUACAGGGCAGUGUUCCGAAUGCCGCCCUACUUGGCACUCCAAAUUUGGUUGUGGUCAAUAAAAAAUAGUCGCAAUUAGAGACUGACAAAGAG